rnacentral:rRNA from 1 species
AUUGAACGCUGGCGGCAGGCCUAACACAUGCAAGUCGAACGAGUGGCGGACUGGUGAGUAAUGUCUGGGAACCUGCCCGAUGGAGGGGGAUGACUGGUGGAAAAGGUAGCUAAUACCGCAUACCGUCGGGUGUGCCCAGAUGGGAUGAGCUAGUAGGUGGGGUAACGGCUCACCUAGGCGAAGCGCCCUAGCUGGUCUGAGAGGAUGACCGGCCACACUGGAACUGAGACACGGUCCAGACUCCUACGGGAGGCAGCAGUGGGGAAUAUUGCACAAUGGGCGCAAGCCUGAUGCAGCCAUGCCGCGUGUAUGAAGAAGGCCUUCGGGUUGUAAAGUACUUUCAGCGAGGAGGCGUUACUCGCAGAAGAAGCACCGGCUAACUCCGUGCCAGCCGCCGCGGUAAUAC